rfam:Loxodonta africana unplaced genomic scaffold scaffold_376, whole genome shotgun sequence.
GCCUGGGUAGGUCAGUUGGUAGAGGAUCAGACUUUUAAUAUGAGGGUCCAGGGUUCAAACCUCUGUACAGGCG